rnacentral:rRNA from 1 species
GCCAUGCUAGCGGAGGGCAGUUCGGCUGCCCCGCGAAAAGCUCAGUAACACGUGGUCAAUCUACCCUUGGGAUUGGGAUAACCCCGGGAAACUGGGGAUAAUUCCAAAUAGGCGGGGGUUCUGGAAAUGUCCCUCGCUGAAAAGCUACGGCGCCUAAGGACGAGACUGCGGCCGAUUAGGUAGUUGGUGAGGUAAAGGCUCACCAAGCCAAAGAUGGGUACGGGCCCUGAGAGGGGGAGCCCGGAGAUGGAGACUGAGACACGGACCCAGGCCCUAUGGGGCGCAGCAGGCGAGAAAACUUUGCAAUGUGCGAAAGCACGACAAGGUUAAUCCGAGUGGUUUCUGCUAAAGGAACCUUUUGUUAGUCCUAGAAACACUAACGAAUAAGGGGUGGGCAAGUUCUGGUGUCAGCCGCCGCGGUAAAACCAGCACCUCAAGUGGUCAGGAUGAUUAUUGGGCCUAAAGCAUCCGUAGCCGGCUCUGUAAGUUUUCGGUUAAAUCUGUACGCUCAACGUACAGGCUGCCGGGAAUACUGCAGAGCUAGGGAGUGGGAGAGGUAGACGGUACUCGGGAGGAAGUGGUAAAAUGCUUUGAUCUCUCGAUGACCACCUGUGGCGAAGGCGGUCUACCAGAACACGUCCGACGGUGAGGGAUGAAAGCUGGGGGAGCAAACCGGAUUAGAUACCCGGGUAGUCCCAGCUGUAAACUAUGCAAACUCAGUGAUGCAUUGGCUUGUGGCCAAUGCAGUAUUGCAGGGAAGCCGUUAAGUUUGCCGCCUGGGAAGUACGUACGCAAGUAUGAAACUUAAAGGAAUUGGCGGGGGAGCAC